rnacentral:rRNA from 1 species
GAAGGAGCCCGGAGAUGGACACUGAGACAAGGGUCCAGGUCCUACGGGGCGCAGCAGGCGCGAAACCUUCGCAAUGCGCGCAAGCGCGACGAGGUUAUUCCGAGUGAUUUCCGCUGAGGAAAUCUUUUCUUAGAUCUAAAAAGUCUGGGGAAUAAGGGGAGGGCAAGUCUGGUGUCAGCCGCCGCGGUAAUACCAGCUCCUCGAGUGGUCAGGGCGUUUAUUGGGCCUAAAGCAUCCGUAGCCUGCUCGGUAGGUCUCCUGUUAAAUCCAACGGCUCCACCGUUGGCCUGCAGGAGAUACCGCUGGGCUAGGAGGCGGGAGAGGCGGACGGUACUCCGAGGGUAGGGGUAAAAUCCUUUGAUCCCCGGAAGA